GCCUCCGUGGAUUAGCGGAAGAUCACCCUGGCGUUAUAUAGCCCAGAUAUCGAAAGCCUUGCAGGGAGACGUGGGUUCGAACCCCGCCGGAGGCA